rnacentral:lncRNA from 1 species
AGCCAAAGAGGUCAAACCAGUCCCUACUAAGCCUGUCACUCAAGAGCCAACAGCUCCCAAGGAGGAUGAAGCACCUCAAAAAGAAAAAUAUGUGAAACCUAGGCCGCUGUCUCCUUAUGCGGCGUAAGACAACUUGUUCCUCAACGGGAAAUAAUCAAAUAUGUAACCAAAAUGACUUGUUUACAUGACAUUAAUUGUUUCUUCCUUUUUGUUUUUGUAAAUAUAAUAUAGCUACGAAGACUUGAAACCUCCAACAUCUCCUAUUCCAAGUUCGACCGCAUCACUCAGUCCUGCCAAAUCUAAGGAGGUAGAUGCCACUGAGGUUCCUGUUGAGGCCAAUAUAGUGCCGGAUAGUAUCUCAAACGUCCCAGUAGAAGAAGAAGAAUUAAAGCAAGCUGGAGAAGAAGAAGUGAAGAAACCUGAGGAAAAGAAAGGGAGGCCUCUUUCCCCUUAUGCCAGGUAAACCUUAUUAUCUUUGCGACUUUAUUGUAUUCAGGAGCCGCUAGAUUGAAAUUGAUUAUGCUCGCCUACAGUUUAUAUUGCUAUAACUACAGUUGGAGUAAUAAAUGUGUGAGCAGAUACUAAUUUCAAAAGUUUGAUGGCCGUUUUGUGAUGCAGCUAUGAAAAUCUGAAACCACCUUCAUCACCCUUUCCUAAAGCUUCGGGAACCAGAAAGACUGAUUCUUUGUCGCCUGGUCCAACCGAUUCUGAUACUGAUAAAAGCUC